rnacentral:misc_RNA from 1 species
GAGAUAGAGGAAAGAGAAAGAGAAACGGGGAAAUACCACUAAUGUAGUAGGAGAUUGAGCAGAAGCAGAAAGUGUUUCCCUUCGCUCUCCGCUUCUUGUUAUAGUAUUUUAUUGUUUAUAUAUAUAUAUAUAUACAUGUUUUGUAAUUUGUACAUUUUGUUGAUGUAUCAUAAACAGGGAGACAGUGGGGAGAGAGAGAGAGAGAUGGAGAGAGAGGGGGUGGGGGUAAGUCAUAAACGGCUGAGGUUGAAUAGAGGAAGCAAAU